UACAGAGGUCCCAAGCGUUGUUCGGAUUCACUGGGCGUAAAGGGUGCGUAGGUGGCGGGGUAAGUCUGAUGUGAAAUCUCCGAGCUUAACUCGGAAACUGCAUCGGAUACUGCUUUGCUCGAGGGUUGGAGGGGGGACUGGAAUACUUGGUGUAGCAGUGAAAUGCGUAGAUAUCAAGUGGAACACCAGUGGCGAAGGCGAGUCCCUGGACAAACUCCUGACACUGAGGCACGAAAGCUAGGGGAGCAAACAGGA
rnacentral:rRNA from 1 species